CCUACGGGAGGCUGCAGUGGGGAAUAUUGCACAAUGGGGGAAACCCUGAUGCAGCGACGCCGCGUGAGUGAAGAAGUAUUUCGGUACGUAAAGCUCUAUCAGCAGGGAAGAAAAUGACGGUACCUGACUAAGAAGCCCCGGCUAACUACGUGCCAGAAGCCGCGGUAAUACGUAGGGGGCAUGCGUUAUCCGGAUUUACUGGGUGUAAAGGGAGCGUAGACGGCAGCGCAAGUCUGGAGGGAAAUCCCAUGGCUUAACCAUGGAACUGCUUUGGAAACUGGGUAGCUAGAGUGCAGGAGAGGUAAGCGGAAUGCCUAGUGUAGCGGUGAAAUGCGUAGAUAUUAGGAGGAACACCAGUGGCGAAGGCGGCUUACUGGACUGUAACUGACGUUGAGGCUCGAAAGCGUGGGGAGCAAACAGGAUUAGAUACCCCUGUAGUC
rnacentral:rRNA from 1 species